rnacentral:rRNA from 1 species
CAGCCGCCGCGGGAAUACGUAGGUGGCAAGCGUUGUCCGGAAUUACUGGGCGUAAAGCGCACGUAGGCGGUUAUUCAAGUCAGAGGUGAAAGCCCGGGGCUCAACCCCGGAACUGCCUUUGAAACUAGAUGACCAGAAUCUUGGAGAGGUCAGUGGAAUUCCGAGUGUAGAGGUGAAAUUCGUAGAUAUUCGGAAGAACACCAGUGGCGAAGGCGACUGACUGGACAAGUAUUGACGCUGAGGUGCGAAAGCGUGGGGAGCAAACAGGAUUAGAUACCCCCGUAGUCCCUGUCUCUUAUAC